rnacentral:misc_RNA from 1 species
ACACCUCAACUCUCACGGUUCGCCGUGACGAGCUUGGACUUUGGAGGCUUUGCUGGCCUGUGGGUCGGCUCCUCUCAAAUGAAUCAGCUUACCGGUGUAUUGGUGGCGUCACAGGUGUGAUAACUAUCUACGCUAUUGACGUGAGGCAGUUCAGCUUCUAACAGUCCAUUGACUUGGACAACUUUUUAUUA